GGGGACGCGUGGAUUCGACAGGGAGAUAUCCGCUCGAUCGCGGGCCGUGGCGCCGUGCACCACGUAAAAAGCGGCAAAAAAAUAAACGGCGAACGAGAAUUCGCUCUCGCUGCCUAAAGCGCAGUGACGUUCGACCUGACCCCGGCCUGGCGGGUCAGGACCGAGCGACGAAAUGCCAGGCUGCGGUGUUCGGGUCGUUAGUGACGAACAUCUAAGGCUUCUCUAACUGGUCGCCACUCUUGCCACGCCGACGGGGCGGGUGCGGCGACGAGAAAACCACCGACGGCUACGCUCGUAGAAGUCAAACCGGUACCCUCCCUGGACGGGGAGUUCGACUCUCCCCCGUCUCCACCA
rnacentral:tmRNA from 1 species